rnacentral:lncRNA from 1 species
CUGACGACAUACUUAGUACAUUGUUACCGCCAACACCAAUAAACUGAGGCCCUGGGUCAGACAGUUUGGGGUGAAAGGGCACAUUCAGGCAGCAGUCCCAUUGUGAGGCUAUGCAGAACCUUCCAGAACAGCCACACCCUCCUUGCUGCCUGUCAUGAUCUCAUUAUUCUCCAGUGACCCAUUCGCCAUCCCAGUAACGGCAGAAGCCAAAAUCGCAUGAACACCAGGCAAUUUGCAGACCACAGCUUUGCCGUCUUUAUCAUCCAUCUCUCUUGGGGCAAAGCUGAGCUGGACUCCGAGGUUGGAAGGCGCUCAGUGAGGAGGAGAGAGUGGGAAGAAGACAGGCUGGCCUCGCAGGAGGGAAGAGGAAACUGAGACACAGAGAAAUGAGGACGUGGCUCAGACCAUUGCUCUCUCAUGGGACCUGGAGUAGACUGGUUAUGGAUUAUUUGCAUCAACAGGCGCCUUGCCGGACUGAGAUUACGGGUACCUGUGAUCCAUCUACUGAGCUUGCUGACGCUUCUCUACAACAGUCUUGCUGCUCAGAUCUGACGUUUAUUUUCAAACAACAGGAUGAUGCCAGCUUGCUGGUUCGUUUCUGUCCUGCUAAAUGGUUGAAUGGUUUUCCAUACCUCGCACCAAAUUUUGGCAAAUUGAAUAUGGUUGACUAGAACGAUAUACCUCUGAAUAUUAAAAGUAACUCUGAAGUUGUGGCUCCUUGUUUUUCAUAACUGAGACAGUGUUGGGAAGUUAGGACAACACACCCUGGAGGCAAACUGCCCAGAUGACCACUCAGGGCUGCGUGGCCGGGGCCUCUCCUCAGCCCGCUGUGCCUUGGUUUCCUCAUCAGUAAGAAGAACAGAGGACCACAACCCCUUAUUCAGAUGUACUUGGGACUCAGAAUAUCUCCACUUCUGGAAGGUACCACAGAGCACAUCCCGGAAGUUCCCUAACACCUGUCAUCAGGCAUCCCAGUGUUUCUGCUGGGAAAACGCAUGGGAGGUUCCUCCCGCUGGGACAUGAGAAGGUCUUGCUGCCAAGGGAGCUACAAAAAAGGCUUCCAGUUUUCAGGACAAUUUGGACUUGGGAGUUACAGAAGAGGGCCUGGGGAGCUGUGGCGGGGAAAAGCAGGGCAGCCGGCUCACGUCCCGAGGUGCCGGCCUAUGGCUCUCUGCAGCGCAAGCCGCGGGCAACGCGGGUCAUCGCGGGCGGUACCCAUGACAGUUCGCGGGAGAGCAGAGCUGGCGGCACCCGCUGCUCCCUGCGGAGGCCUGUCUGGUGUUGGGGUCUGAGUUCCACUCCAAGGUGCAGAAAGGAAAACUCAAUCAAGAACAGAGCAGCUUAAAUGUGGACAGCGUCCCUAGACAUCGCCGGCUGUGUCCUGUCUCCUUUUUUUCAGUGCGUCUUUUCAAAAUGAGAGCCUUUCCCUGCCUAGCCAAAAUUAAAUUACCAUACUUGACAAUACGUAAAGAUUCCUUCACAUCAGCCAAGAUUGAGUCCAUCUUCAAAGGUCCCCAGUUGCCCAAAAGUUCCUGUGACAACAGGUUUGUCCGAACAAGACCAUGCAGGGAACCUGGUGACGUCCCGGACUGACUCGAGGAGACUGCUGUCCCGCGGAUGCCCCGCUUCUGACCUGGGGGUGCUGCCUUGUGCUGUGUUUGCUCCUCUAUCCUCUCUCGUUCCUUAAGAAUGGAAAUUCACUCUGAAGGCUGGACAUGUUCAAGAUGGACACUGGGCUGGGCCACCUCUCACAGAGGACCCGCACGUGGGCUCCGCCGUGAGGCCGGGUGUGAUGUCUGUGCAGAUCCACCGGCCUCCCUCUCUCUCUGAAACCAGACGAGUAUCCGGGUCCCCACAGGCCCUCAUCUGAGCGUCUCAACACAGAUUCUAUCCUUGGCCUCAUCAAUCUUCUCAACAGGGAUUGACAAGGAUGGUUUUCUAAUGCUGUCACUCCUCCCUCAUUAUCAGCCAACAUUCCUUUUUAAAGUGGGUCUUUCCUCACAACCAGAGUGCCCUGGUUCUGCCGACAUUCGGUGCCUAGCAGGAAGCAGGAAGCAGGAUAAUGCUUAAAUGUUUCCUUUGGCCAACAAUAUUCAACAGGAAGAGCUGGUUUAAUGUCCAACUUUCUCUCGUGUGAGAGCGAUUAUGGAAUAGUGGAUUUACACAGGUCAGAUGUAGUCAGUCAACCCUGAGCAACAUUCUUUUUGAUGCUCAAAGUGUCACAGAUUUGACCAGUGGGACCUUUUUCAAAUUGGCCUGUUGUCUUUUUGACAGAACUCCAUUAAUCCUUGAAAGCUCUCUUGCUGUCUGGAACAACAAACUGUUCUGAGUUCAUUGUGUGCUCAUUAUGUGCAGAAGAGAAAAUGAAUAAACAAACUGUGGUAUAUUUGAUAGUAAAAUAAUAUUCAGAAAUAAAAAGUAGCAAACUGCUGAUACAUGCGACCAUGUGGCUGAGCCUCAGACCCCAGCCUGCACACCCGCCAGGCUAGAGAACCAUCCUUGGUUUUCUCUGCUCAGGCUCCUCCCCACCUUCACACAUGGUGUUAUCUCUCUCCAGUCAUCAUUGUCCCACAUCAGCCACCAAUCCUACUGUCCCCAUAUUCAUUUUCCCUCCUCUCCCCUGGUCUGUUGCCCACCAACACCCCUG